rnacentral:rRNA from 1 species
UACGUAGGGUGCAAGCGUUUGUCCGGAAUUAUUGGGGCGUAAAGGGCUCGUAGGCGGUCCAUCGCGUCGGGAGUGAAAAGCUGGGGGCUCAACCCCCAGUCCUGCUUCCGAUACGGGUGGACUAGAGGUAUGCAGGGGAGAACGGAAUUCCUGGUGUAGCGGUGAAAUGCGCAGAUAUCAGGAGGAACACCGGUGGCGAAGGCGGUUCUCUGGGCCUUACCUGACGCUGAGGAGCGAAAGCGUGGGGGAGCGAACAGG